rnacentral:rRNA from 1 species
AUGAGCAACUCGUCGUGGGCGGCGCCGGCGGGGUCGUCGGCGCUGGAGACGGUGGAGACCAAGAUCAGCCCCAGCAUCCUCUUCAUCGUCGCCGUGCUGGCCAUCGUCUUCUUCGUCUGCGGCCUGCUGCACCUGCUCGCGCGCCACCUGCUGCGGCUGCGCCGCCGCCGCCGGGCCGCCCGCGACGACGCCGAGAGCGUCACCGCCUUCCAGGGCCAGCUGCAGCAACUCUUCCACCUCCACGACGCCGGCGUCGACCAGGCCUUCAUCGACGCCCUCCCCGUCUUCCUCUACCGCAACGUCGUCGUCGGCGGGGACGGAGAGGGCGGCAAGGACCCGUUCGACUGCGCCGUGUGCCUGUGCGAGUUCGCGCCUGACGACCAGCUCCGGCUGCUCCCCAAGUGCAGCCACGCGUUCCACCUCGAGUGCAUCGACACCUGGCUGCUCUCGCACUCCACCUGCCCGCUCUGCCGCCGCAGCCUCCUCGCCGCCGGCGACCUCGAACCCACCUGCAGCCCGGUGCUCAUGGUGCUCGACUCCGCCGACAGCUCCCGCGACCUGGCCGCCUCGGGCAGGCGCGCCGACGCCGAGCCGAGCGGCGCGGCCGUGCGCGUCCCGGGGCGCGACGGGGCCGAGGAGGUGGUCGAGGUGAAGCUGGGCAAGUUCAUGUGCGUGGAUGGCAACGCCUUUGCCGUCGCCGACGCCAGCGGAGCGGACGGAGCGGGCACCAGCAGCAACGCCAAUGCCGACGCCGACGCAGGGCUCGGGCAGAGGCGGUGCCACUCCAUGGGCUCCUACGAGUACGUCAUGGAGGAGCAGGCGUCGCUCCGCGUGGCCAUCGCCAAGCCGCCGCCCAAGAAGAAGCGGCCGGCGUUCUCCCGGGCGCGCCGCGGCGGGGGCGCCAUGUCGGAGUGCGAGUUCGGCGCGUCCAAGCGCCGCGGGGAAUCCUCCUCGCUCCGCUACCCGGUGAUCCCCGCCACGACAGCGCGGAAGCAGCAGCCUCCCCCCGGCCUGCCCGCCGCGGCGAAGCUCGCCAAGGACAGCUUCUCCGAGUCCAAGAUCUGGAUGGUGCCGCCGGCGUCGUCCCGGAAAGGGGACCCCUACGCGGGCGGGCGGCGCACGGUGUCGUUCCGGUGGCCGAUGCGGAGCGGCAAGGAGGGCGAGGAGGAAGGAGGGGGCGAGCGGAAGAGCGGGAGCGAGGCAGACUGGGGCGACGUGGAGACGGGCAGCGGCGGCGGCAACAGCGUGGUGUCGUCGCUCGCGGAGGAGCGGCCGUCGUUCGCGCGCCGCACCCUGCUCUGGGUCGUCGGCGGCCGGCAGCAAUCCAACCGGGUCGGAGACUGCUCGUGA